UGUUAGUUUUUUUUGUUUGAUUCUUCUGAUUGUUUGAUUCAAGUUUCUACGGUAUUCAUUAUUUGGAUUGUUGGUUUGAUUAUUAUUAGGGCUUUCUUAGUUAGUGUUUACAGGUUUUUGUUUGGUACGAAUUGUAGUGUUUUGAUUUUGUAUUUUUCUUAUGUGAGUUGAUUCUUGCUAUUGUUCCUUCUUCUCAGCACUUUGGUCAGUGUUUUAUUUUGAUUGCAGGUUUCUUAAUUUUCUGUAUUUCAAAGCUGAAGGUACUGCUUAUGACAAGCUUUCAAACUAAGAUUCUACAAGAUACCGUGCAGCUGAUAUCUACUACAACCCGUACACCCCAUAAUAGGAUCUUGAGUUUGGUUUUAGUUAUUACUUCCUUUGUAUUGAUUGUUGGCCUUAUAAAAAUUCAGUGAUCUAAUGAAUUUCAGUCAUCUCUGAAGGCUAUAUUUACUAGCAUCAAUUUUUAAAAUUUGCAUCCUCCAUAUUGUCUCACAAAUUGUUAUUCUUAUUCACUUCCUCUAAAAUUAUAGCAUUAUAAACAUGACAACAUUUGAAAUAUUUACAGGUUUUAUAUUUGGCUUCUCCCCGUUCAAUUAGGGAUCUUCAUGUGUUCAGUUCAGAAAUGUUGCUCUUACUUCAUCAAAGCUAGCAACUUAUUUAUAAAGCCAAGCAGAUGAAAUGCCAACCAAGUUAUUAUUCAAUUUAGAUAUUUCUACAACUCAUCAGUCGCUUAGGUUUAUCUAUGUACCUCCAAUUUCAUAUAUCCUCCCAUUCUCCACGAGAAUUCUGAUUUAUUGGCAAAGAGGCGAAGAAAUAAUUUUUGCCCUUGAUACCAGUAUUUCCUCUCUUGCUUAAGACGCCUCGAUUUUUGCUUUUUGUGCUUCUUAUUUAGGUUUCUUCAUUGCUUCUGUUGUAAUUCCUGACUAUAGUUUAUUGAUCUUUUUCAGGGUUUUACUGAUCGUUUGUGGAUUCAAACUGAUCGUUUGUAGGUAUGUAAUGUCCAAUUUUUUGUAUUGUUCUUCUAACCGGAAUUUCCAUUUAUUAAUAACUGCCGAAAAUUUGUGCGAAAAUCUUUGGGAUUUCUUUUCUUCCAUAUCUUUGUAAAUUAAUGGAGAAAUUAUUUUAAGAAACGACUUAAAGGUUGAUAUACUUAAUUAAUUAACGGAGAAAUAUUCCUUAAUUAUGAUGACUGUAAUAUCUUAGCUUUCAUCGCACUACCAACAAUAGCCUACAAUAUAUCCUUUUAUGGAAAAUAACUAUAAUAUGGUAGCUUCCUUUGUGCUCAAGUAUCAGGUGUCUAAAUUAAGAAACACGGAUGGUUCGUUGGCAUGUUAUGCCAAUGUUAGAGAAAGAUCCAAAAUAAUUUCGUAAUGACCAAGCUACAGAGGUGUGUAUAAACAAUACAAGGCUACUAGGUUUGCUUUGCAGCUUCAGUUAUAGUCACAUCUGGUGGGUGAGAAGAAAAAUCAGAGAGCAAUGGAGAUCAAUGACCAAGGAAUAGUUUACAUGCCAUUCAUCAAACUCGGAAAACACAACUCAAAAGUGGACAAAUCAGUGACCAUGAUACUGCAGAAAACUCAGAUGCAUGCUAGGCUGGGAAAGGGUCAUGUGAAGUUCAUCUAUCGAAAAAUUGGGGAAGGGCAUGUGUAUUCUAUUCGGAGGUUUAAUGUUGCCAAACCUACAACUGGAUACAGAAUAGUCUCCUCUAAUUACGUACGAAAAUACGUGGUUUAUUGGACGACAGAUUCAUCAACCUAGCGAGACCAUAGUUAAUCUGUCAGGUUCAAAGGAAAUAUUUAGCACUACUCAUCUGAUGGAAUCACUUAAACGUCACGAAUACAGAGCCAAAAGGUUGAGCUCAAAGAUUGGCCCCUAAUUAUGUAUGUCAUUUCAUGUUCAUGGUAUUUCUAAUUAUGUGUAGGUGACUCUUUUGCUUGAAAUCACAUGUACUGGAUGAGUUGAGCACCCACAAAAGGCCUUAUAAAUGCUAUGUUGCCGCUCUUGGUCUGAACUACCAUCUUCUUUUCAUGCUGCAAGGUUUUUUACUUUCUCUAAACCACGGAUCUGUGGCGCAAUGGUAGUGCAUCUAACUCCAUAUGUGUGUUCGAUUAACGUCAGGUCCAAUCGCCGGUAUUUAAUCAUGUAUGGGAUUAAUGACAUCCCUUUACUUGCGCUAUACCUACAUCCUGAACAUAAAAAUAACUAGUCCAGAGCAAGGUACAAAGUUGUACCAAUGCGUUCAUGUUGCGAAAUAUUCUCUUCCCUAUCGUUAUUAUCAUAUGUAUGAAAGUCAAAGUUCUAUAGAUCUAUUUUCUAAUGUUCAUGCAUGAUGUUUCGUCUUUGAUAUUCAUGACUUAACUGAAUGGGGCAUGAUUCGUCUUUGAUA